AGCAAAGACAACAACAGGAGCGCCCUCACGAGAGCAACGAAAACGGCAGCAGUCUGGGAGACACUCACGCCAGACA
rnacentral:snoRNA from 1 species